AUGAAAAAGGAACGGCAUCAAUAACACUGAAUAACUUUAAAAAAAUAAAUCAUAAAAUAUCCGGUUUCACAAAAAUGGCCGUGUUGCAGCAGAAGUUAAUGAGCAUUAAUCUUAUAAUAAAAGAACUCUUAAGGAGGUUAAAUGCUAACAAAUACCUGACAAAUUAUAUUUAAAAAAAAAUUGAAUGUGAUAUUUGUGGCAAAUAACCAUUAGUUAUUAGAGAGACAAUCACGUAGUUAAGCUUUAGAAUUUAAAUGUUUUCCUACAUCAUUACACGUGUACAGUAUGAAUACAUUCCUAUAUACAGAAUUUUGUCUCAAGAUGAUUAAAUAAUGUAAUAAUGAGCACAACCAUUUGGGCUCUGAAAUUAUGGGAAAAGAGGUGGUGUGUUUUAGUUAAGCAAUUAGUGCAUGUCUCUUCUACAUGUAUUACACCUGAACUGUAUUUACUCACUUAUCCAUCUGUAAAUGUAUUUAAAAUGUAUACACAAGAAAGAAAAAAUCUAUAAGUAAAAACAAAUCACAUUUAUUGACAAUAGAAAAUAAUAAUAAUAGUACACAAAAAAAUCUGUAAAACUAAUGUCAUAACAGUUAUAGCACCAUAAUAAUAAUAAUGAUAAAAAAAUGUAAAAUUCAAAGAACUACCAUGGUAACCAUGGUAAUAUAAUAAAGCAGAAAGGUCAACAUCGACUCAUACAAUACACACACAAAU
rnacentral:sRNA from 1 species